rnacentral:tRNA from 1 species
AGGGUAAUAGCUCAGUGGUAGAGCAUGUGCUGAGCAUGCACCAGGUCCUGGGUUCAAUCCCCAGUACCUCCA